rnacentral:rRNA from 1 species
AUUGAACGCUGGCGGCAGGCCUAACACAUGCAAGUCGAGCGGAUGAAGUGAGCUUGCUCCUGGAUUCAGCUGCGGACGGGUGAGUAAUGCCUAGGAAUCUUCCUUCUAGUGGGGGAUUACGUCCGUAAACGGGCGCUAAUACCGCAUACGUCCUGAGGGAGAAAGUGGGGGAUCUUCGGACCUCACGCUAUCAGAUGAGCCUAGGUCGGAUUAGCUAGUUGCUGGGGUUAAGGCCUACCAAGACCACGAUCCGUAUCUGGUCUGAGAGGAUGAUCUGUCACACUGAAACUGAGACACGGUGCAGACUCCUAAGGGAGGCAGGAGUGGGGAAUAUUGGACGAUGAGCGAAAGUCUAAUCGAGCCAUGCCGCGAGAGUGAAGAAGGUAUUCGGAUUGUAAAACACUUUAAGUUGGGAGGAAGGGGAGUAAGUUAAUACCUUGCUGUUUUGACGUUACCAACAGAAUAAGCUCCGGCUAACUUCGUG